ACGCGGAUACUAGUUUAGUUGUAGAAGUCGUCGUAAUAGUCUCAGAAGGAGUAGUAAAAUCUUAUUUAUGAAAUAUCGUUAUUCGCAUACUCUCUCUAGUUAAAUAUACUGUUGUAAAUAUGGCAUUCAUGCGCUAUUUUAUAUGCAUGAGUACAGUAAACAUGUGUUUGUGAAUGGUGUUACGUUUCAACCACCUCAUCGUUUAAGAUUGCAAAUAUAUGGUAUUAUGUUUGACAAGUGGAAAUUCACAUAGGUAUUGUUCUUGUCUAUAUUAAGGAGAAAUGCUGCCGAUAUGUCCCUUAAAGAAAUGAUAAGAAUACAUUUAUUUUAUUUCGACAAUUGAAAAUAAAUUUCAUAAAUUAUUUAUUUGUUUGAUGUUUUUUGUGGUUGGACCGCUUUGCAAACGGUCGACCUUCAACUACAGAGAAAAGUAACUGAUCACAACAUGUAGGACAAUAGUUCAGUACGGUAAUUGCGUGGUAGGUUGAAAUGUUGCACGGCUUGUUGUUCUUGUUGUUUCUAGAUAAACAGAUGUCACGUGUCUGGUUUUGGUUAGCUCUGACAUGGACAUUCGUCUGCGGGACUCAAAUACAGUGGCCGCUGGGACCGGCCGCUGGGACCGGAUUUCUCUCACAGCAUGACUGAACUACAGACGAACCUCAGCCAAGCAAAAAUGAACAUCGAGAUGGCGCGCGCACAGGAAGGGGUUCCCUUCGGGGACUCCGGGCGCGUUUUCGUGACGUCGGACGGCGGACUUGGAUAUGCGUAUAACUCCACGGACGGCUCUAUGACUCUGUACGCGCUGAGUCCUGGAAGUCCGCCGCACGGCUACAUGUUCCACUCGGGACCAUCCGGAAACUCAUACAGCUCUUGGUGAUUUCCGUCAGUACUCGGCAGUUCUCGUGCUUUUCAGGCAUAUCUAUAAAUAAAGAAAAUAAGUGCUUGUAGGAUAUAAUAUAAGACGAAAAAAACAUUUGUAUUGCACGAUGCCUUUGUGGUAUAUCUAUUGUUGAUGCUGUACAAACCUCAGUGCUUUUGUACAUGAAGGCCCUCAUUUACUCAUGUGUUGUUAAAAAGCAAAAUAAACAAAAUCCGCAAUUUGU